rnacentral:rRNA from 1 species
CGGACGGGUGAGUAACACGUGGAUAACCUACCUAUAAGACUGGGAUAACUUCGGGAAACCGGAGCUAAUACCGGAUAAUAUAUUGAACCGCAUGGUUCAAUGAUGAAAGACGGUUUUGCUGUCACUUAUAGAUGGAUCCGCGCCGCAUUAGCUAGUUGGUAAGGUAACGGCUUACCAAGGCAACGAUGCGUAGCCGACCUGAGAGGGUGAUCGGCCACACUGGAACUGAGACACGGUCCAGACUCCUACGGGAGGCAGCAGGG